rnacentral:rRNA from 1 species
UGGAAUUGCUAGUAAUGGCAGGUCAGCAUACUGCCGUGAAUACGUUCCCGGGCCCUUGUACACACCGCCCGUCACACCAUGAGAGUUGGAAAUACCCGAAGCCUGUGAGCUAACUUAAAGAGGCAGCAGUCGAAGGUAGAGCCAAUGCUUGGGGUGAAGUCGUAACAAGGUAAC